rnacentral:lncRNA from 1 species
AAAGAGCCACAGUGCUGGACACUAGGGGAGGAGUGAUGUCCCAGUGUGAGAUGGGAAUGAAGCAUGGAAGUAGGAAAACAGAAUGGGCCACACUAAACAGUGUCGACGCCAGGGCACUUUCCACACCGGCAAAGAGCUGGGGAAGGGAGGUGGCAAUGGGAAGGGCCCCAGACUACAUGCCUGGGAGGGGUGGACACCAAGGCUGGCCUGCUCUUCCUGAUCACCGCGCUGCAGCCUCCAGUGUCUUUCCUGAGGCGAAGAGAUGGAGUGAGACAUUUGGGGUCUGUUCUUGGGACCGUGGGUGAGUUUGCUUCAAAAGUGCAUUAGCUGUUCCCGCAUAGGAGGGUUCUGAAGAAGGCCUCAUGGUGUCUCCCUGCCUGGAGCGCCAGAAAUCAGCCCGGUUCCCAGCUAAGAAGUAGGAGCUCCAUGCACCUCCUUUCCUGCCUGGGCCUCUGUGGGGGAUUCUUCUGAGCCCCCUCGUCGCUGGCCUGGAUUUGCCUUGGAUUCUCCGGGGGCGGCUCUGCCUCCUCCCUGCCUGUGUCUUACACCUCAGCCUCAAGGAAGGGCUGUGCCUCACCAGUCUCCUGCCAUUACCCUGUUCCUCUCUGCUCUCAUAUUCCACACAAGCCAAUCCCACAUCUGGGAUGCCAGGCGGGGACGUGAGUAGAUGGCAGGUACAGCGGGCAGCGGGCCAGCACAUCUGGGUUCCAACAUGAAAACAACUCCCUUUUAACAUAAACUUUUUUUUAAAGGCCCCAAACACAUCUGCAGGGCAGUUAAGGGUUGCUGGCCACAAGUAUGCAACUUGCCUUACCCCUUCCCUGGCCCUGGCCAAGGAGCCCUGAGCCCAGGUGAGGUCUCAGACUUCAGGGUGGCAAGGAGACCUGGGGGCUACCCCUGCAGACCACACAUGCCUGGAAAAGCUUUUCGAGUUUAUUUCUGGGGCAAAGUGAAGCCAGCGAAGGGCCCGGGUAGAGGAACAAACCCCUGACUGUGUUUUAAAGGCUCACAGCCAAAGACCACAGGGACAGACCAGCCUGGUGGUCCAGGCAGGGCCGAGGUGGCUUGGGCUGGAACAGCUGCGUGGGGGAAAGGAUGGCACAGGGGGGCAGUGGGGUGCGGACAGGAGGGCGUUGGCUGCUUUCAGCUGAGUGUCUUGUCAUGUCCCAUGCAGGUGCAGGAAGCACAGGGGAGGGGCCAGGGCCAAGCAAGGGCUGGUGAGUGAGCCUCAGCUGCAGGGCUGGACAGAGUCAUCUGGGGGAGAGGUGGGGCAGGAGGAUGCCUGGAAGCCAAGAGGAGACGCUGUUCCAGAGGUGAAUGCUCCAUCACCACUGAGGCCAGCAGAGAAGUGAGCAUGGGGGUCCUGGCCUGCUGGCUUGGACUUCCUAACUGUGGGGUACUGCCCACAGGGCCAGGGGGAAACACUUAGGGGCCCUAAGCACACACAAGACCUUACGAUUCUCUCCCACAUGUAACUCAAAUAUGUAUAUCUGUAUUUUGCAACAAGACACAUUUUAAACUAUGGUUUAAAAAAAAUCCCCCUGAAUUUGCUGAUUGCAAACUUCUUGGCAAAUCUGUCCAGGCUGAACUUUUCUCCAUCUUCCUCUGCUGCUGCUGUUUUGCCUGCUUUUCAAGUGCUUAGGACACUUACUUGGCCAUUAGUCAGAUUAGAGUGGCUGCUUCUAAAUUAGUCCCUUGGCCAGGAUCACCUCUCUCUAUAAUAGAGAAAUUGUCUCAGGUGCCUUCGAUGGCAUCCUCAGCCCAGAGCAUUAAGUCCUGGUGGCAUCACAGGCCUUGGCCACCCACCUAGGGCACAGCUCCCUUGACGGAUCCUUCUCCACCCCCUAGGCACCUGGACUCAGGCCCCCAGAGGGCCACUCACCAUCACCUGGCUAGUGACCUGAGCAGUGCAUCCUGCAGCAGCCCAGCCCUCAGGCGUUCAUCCUCCAGCAGCGCAGCCCUGCCCACCCUCGGGAGGAGGAGGGGCCCGGCGCUGACACCUGCGGCCUUCUCAGUGCCACAGCCGGGCUCUGCAUCCCUGCAAUAUUCCACAGCUGCAAGGCUGCUCACUCCCUUUGCACAGUGGCUCCCAAAGCCCAUUCGCAAUUUUCCCUCCGAGACCCUCACAGCAGCUGGGGCCUCCUCUUCAGGCCAUGGGUCCCUUCUUCUAGAGUCAAAAUGAGAACAAGUCCGUCUUUUCCUUUUCUUCCUCCAAGCUUGGGGAGGCAGCAGCUUCCUCUCUGGCCCCCAGUUAAGGACCUUCUACCUACGGAUUCCCUACAUCAAGUCCCUCACGGGAAAUAUCUGUUCUGGUAGCUUCCGUGGCUUCUUUCUCUUCCCAGACCCUGACAGAUGACCACGCGUGGCUUGCUGAAGCCAUAGCUGUAUGAGGACACUGGCAGAAACGGCUGCUGUUCUUCUUGCUUCCCAAAGGGCAGAGAUACCUCGAGUCACAGAAGGAUGGGGAAGCGUCUUCUCACACCCCUGACUUCAUCUGCCGGGAGCUGGUGGCUGAGGGCGGCUGGUUUGCUCUAA